rnacentral:lncRNA from 1 species
UUUACUGUGUUAAGAGUUUGAUAAGAACCUGAAUUGAUGGAACAAACUCGUUUACCUAAGAAGAGUAAACUCAAUGGAAAUGAGUGAAUUUUAUUGAAUUGAACGUAAACUGUGACUCCAACAAACCAGAGCAUUCGAGAGGCUCUGUACUCUCCUACCAGACUCCUGAUUUUUCUCUGCUGUUACCUGCCCCUCCCCUUUACAUUUAUUGACAAUUUCCCUGACUGACUCACUACUCUCCCCCCUAACAAAAUAACAGAAUAACAACUGCAUGCUUAAUUAAUUCGAGAGGCCCUUACUCCUUUUUGUGUAUUUAAAAAUCACUGGGGGUCUAUUAAUACCCCCCCUUCAAAAUCCACCUUGUCCUUAAGGUGGAAGUUUGGAAAUUGCUGGCGGAUGUUUUCAACUGACUCCCAGGUGGCUUCGUAGUCUGAAGAGUUCUUCCACUUGAUCAGAACUUCAGGACCCAAGGCUGAACUUGCUGAAUUAGAACAGAAUUGUAACACUCUCUCCAGUUCCACUCUGCUCGAGGUCUCCACAGCAAGGUGUUCUGGUAAUUCUGAAACAGUUUGAGUAUUCCCGACAGCCUUCCUGAGCUGCGACACAUGAAAAACCGGGUGGAUAGCUGACUCCGGUGGAAGUUUCAAUUUGUAAGCAACCUGCCCCACUUUGGCCUGAACUUCAAAAGGCCCAUAAUAUUUGGGAGAAAGUUUUGCUGAUGAUCUCUGAGCCACAGACUUCUGACGGUAAGGAUGCAAUUUCAAAUAUACCAAGUCCCCAACUUUCAACUAGAGAUCACGGCGAUGCCCAUCGCUUCUUGCUUCAUUCGUUGUUGGGCGCGCAAAAGUUGCAUCUUGAGGUGCUGGAGGACUUCAUCCCUGCUGACCAAGGAUUGUUCUAUUGAGGAAACUACAGUCAUUCCCUUCUGAAAAGGCAUAACCGGCGGAGGAUCAAAACCUUACACAAUCUGAAGGGGAGUCUGCUUCAAGGCGGUGUGAAAAGAAGUAUUAUACCAAAAUUCUGCCCACGGUAACCACUGCCCCCAUGAUCGUGGCUUACUUGAAGUAAAACAACGCAAGUAUGUCUCCAAACACCGAUUGACGACCUCCGUUUGGUCGUCGAUUUGUGGAUGGUAGGCUGUACUCCUUUUAAGGACUGUCCCCUGAGCCCGAAAAAGCUCCUUCCAGAACUUACUCGUAAAAACUCGAUCCCUGUCUGACACAAUAGACUGUGGAAUUCCAUGCAACUUAACAACUUCUCGUAUGAAGACUUUAGCCACUACUCGAGCUAUCCGUUUGUAAGUUUUGAGAAAUCCCGAAUGACCACCGAUUCUCGAGUCGUGAUAUUCCUGUAGGACCUUCUCAAUGAAUGGGGAUGAUUUCGGUAACACUAAUCUGCUUUGUAACACAAAGUCCCAUCCACCACCGAAUAGCAGUUUGGUCCCCUCCACUUGAUUGUAUGUGGGCAAUGAUUUUGCUUAACUCUUUGUCCCUUGCUAUUGCUGUUUUUACCUCAUCCACUUCUAACACCCGGGGCCUUGAUAUUUCCAGAAAACUCACUAUGGGUCCCAUUCUUGAGAGGGCAUCUGCAGCUCUGUUUUUCAUACCGGGCCGAUAUUGAAUUUCAAAGUCAAAGCCAAGGAGUUUAGUCAACCAUUUCUGAUGUUCUUUACAAACUAAGCGCUGCUCCAGAAGAAAUUUCAAACUUCGCUGAUCAGUCCUUACUAUAAAAUGUCUGCCCAGUAAAUAGUGCCGCCACUUCUGAGAGGAAAACACUAUGGCCAUCAAUUCCCGCUCAUAAACUGAUUUGUGUCUAGCACUCAACGGAAGCACCUGGCUGAAGUAGGCAAUGGGAUGCUGUCCUUGCAUUAAAACAGCCCCCAACCCGUGGCCCGAUGCAUCGGUUUCCACCACAAAUGCUUGGGAGAAGUCGGGUAAGGCAAGAACGGGCAUUUCAGUCAUUGCUGUCUUCAGUUUGCAGAAGGCAUCCUCUGCCACCUCACUCCAGUUAAACCCGUCCUUUUUCAACAAUUCGGUAAGUGGCCAAGCAAUCACCGCAUAUCCUUUUACAAAACGUCGAUAGUAGUCGGUAAGCCCCAAAAAUCAACUUAGCUCCCGAAGGUUCCGAGGCGAUGGCCAGCUGCACAUUGCCUUUAUCUUAGACUUAUCCGCUGAUACUCCUUGUCCCGAUAUUAUAUGGCCCAAGUAUUCCAAUUGAGGCUGUCCAAAAGUGCACUUCUUCUCAUUUACGUAUAGCUUGUGUUGCUGUAAGCAUUCCAAAACAAUGUCCAGAUGUUCCUGAUGCUCCCUCAACGAAGCACUGUACACUAAGAUGUCAUCAAAAAAGACCAGAACAAACUUUCUGAGAUAGGGUCGAAAGACCUCAUUCAUCAAACUUUGGAAUGUUGCCGACGCAUUUGUCAGCCCAAACGGCAUGACAAGGAAUUCGUAGUGGCCUUCAUGAGUACGGAAAGCCGUCUUUGGCACAUCAUCCGGUUUCAUUCUUAUCUGAUGGUACCCCGAUUUAAGAUCCAGCUUUGAAAAGAUGGCUGCCCCAUGAAGUUCGUCCACCAAUUCAUCGAUCACUGGUAUAGGAAAUCUAUCAGGGACGGUGACCUUGUUCAACGCUCGGUAGUCUACACAAAAACGCCAGCUCCCAUCUUUCUUUUUUACCAACAAAAUUGGGCUAGAGAAUGGGCAGCAACUGAGUUGGAUUAUCCCAGCCUCCAGCAUGUUUCGCACCAAUUUCUCAAUUUCAUUCUUCUGGAAACUCGGAUAACGAUAUAGCCUAACGUUAACCGGGACUGCCCCCACCUGGAGCACAAUCCCAUGGUCAUGGGAUCGUGAUGGGGGAAGCUCAUUAGGCCACUCGAAGACUUGGUGAUGCCGCCGCAAUACUUCAGUAAGCUCGUCAGGGCCCUUGCUCACUUUCUCUUCGUUUCCCAAACUCAUACUUCCCAGCUCCAACAAUACCCCUUGGUCACCCUCUUUGAAGUUUCUGAAUAUCGACUUAAUAGAGACCUGGGUCUUCUGCAGGUUAGUUUCUCCCUGCAGUAACACCUCACGCCCAUCGACCUUAAAUUUCAUCGUCAACCUCCCCCAAUCCACCUGCAUUUGUCUCAAUGUUCCCAACAUCAGACUUUCAAGUUUUUUGUUUGUCUUAGUAGGACAAACUUAGCAACCUAGUUCCAACUAGACUGAAUGCAUAGAGUUGCAGAAGAGGUUUCAAUGACAAAUUCUGGACAAUUCUAAAUUUGCAAUUCAGAUUAUUAUAUUUUUUAGACAAAGAUGAAAAUUUUUUGAGUAGUAAUAUCAUUCCAAGGUAUUUUGUUUUUCAUUUUUUUAAUCUCUAGUUAUAUUUUAUUUAUAACUUUUCAAGAUUGCAAAUUGAUGGAUACACUGUUUUAUUAUUGCUUCUGAUUAUGUCUUUCUAUAGGUGGUUUGGAAUACAGCUGAAUCCUCAAUUCAUUGGCAUGGACCUCAAGUAUGUAUCCAUUUUGUAAAAACUGGAGUUUCUUCUGUUUUGAGAGUUUGAGUCUCCUUCUUCAUAUGCAUGGGCAAUCAUAGUGUGUUCACUUUGCUUGUCUAAUUUGCAACUUAAUAUUUGAAAACCUCAUUAGAUAUCAGAUAAUGACUGCAUUUAACUUAGGUGGAAACACUCCCCAUUCCUUUGGAGGAAACAACUUGUUAUGGACCAUUCCAUUUUCCAUUUUAUUCAAAAAUAUAUUUCACCACUGCUGUCAGAUCCCCACCUGGCCUAUUUACGUUAGUUAUUGGAAUCAGUAAUAUAAUGUCUCUAGCAUUUUGUCACCAUGGAUUCAAUUGUCUUGUAGAUUCUUCUUUGUUAGAGCUGGAAUGAUGGGAUGGCUUCUUAUAAAUCUUUCCGUUCUUGCAAAAUGUAUUCAAGAGGGCAUCUUAAGCAGAUCGAUGAUUUUUUACCAGCUUUUCUGUUUUGUAAGUGGUGAUGUUUUAAUUUUCCUGUUUUGAGUACAUUCGUGUACUUGUUAAAUUGCCUAAUACUUGUAUCUACUGGCAGCUCUAUAUUUUGGACUACUUUUUCCAUGAAGAGUACAUGACCUCCACGUAAGUGUAUUUUUUCUUUUCUUUAAACUAUGUUGUCAGCUAAUCUGGUUUAUUCAGUUUAUGUAAUUGUUGCAUCAUAUUACUAAGCUGUUCUUCAUUGGUUGAUACCAUGUGGUCAUAUUGAUUUAUAGCCAAUCCUUUUAUGUGUGAAGAACUUUCUUGUAGAACAUUUACCCAGGAAGUGGUUACUUACGGUGACCUCCUCCAUCUUCCUUUUAGAUGAACUCCUUUACUAGAAACAACACUAUUUUCCAUUUAUAGAUUUUGCAUCUAACUGUAAGGCUGGCAUAUAUUGUGAAUGGAACUAUCUACAAAGAUGUUAACUAUCCAUGCUGUUUGAACUAUGAUGCAUUGCAACUUUAUUUAUUUAUUUUGAUAAACAUUGCUUUUGUUAACUGUGUGUCCAUAUUUUCCGUUCAGCAAUGCUAAAAUGAAUCAUCACCGUUCUCGUUUAGUGUUUGAUCUGGUAUGAAGACUCACCUGAGCAUAUUCAUGUACUUAUUGUGUUUCAAGACAUUAUUUACUGUGUUAAGAGUUUGAUAAGAACCUGAAUUGAUGGAACAAACUCGUUUACCUAAGAAGAGUAAACUCAAUGGAAAUGAGUGAAUUUUAUUGAAUUGAACGUAAACUGUGACUCCAACAAACCAGAGCAUUCGAGAGGCUCUGUACUCUCCUACCAGACUCCUGAUUUUUCUCUGCUGUUACCUGCCCCUCCCCUUUACAUUUAUUGACAAUUUCCCUGACUGACUCACUACUCUCCCCCCUAACAAAAUAACAGAAUAACAACUGCAUGCUUAAUUAAUUCGAGAGGCCCUUACUCCUUUUUGUGUAUUUAAAAAUCACUGGGGGUCUAUUAAUACCCCCCCUUCAAAAUCCACCUUGUCCUUAAGGUGGAAGUUCGGAAAUUGCUGGCGGAUGUUUUCAACUGACUCCCAGGUGGCUUCGUAGUCUGAAGAGUUCUUCCACUUGAUCAGAACUUCAGGACCCAAGGCUGAACUUGCUGAAUUAGAACAGAAUUGUAACACUCUCUCCAGUUCCACUCUGCUCGAGGUCUCCACAGCAAGGUGUUCUGGUAAUUCUGAAACAGUUUGAGUAUUCCCGACAGCCUUCCUGAGCUGCGACACAUGAAAAACCGGGUGGAUAGCUGACUCCGGUGGAAGUUUCAAUUUGUAAGCAACCUGCCCCACUUUGGCCUGAACUUCAAAAGGCCCAUAAUAUUUGGGAGAAAGUUUUGCUGAUGAUCUCUGAGCCACAGACUUCUGACGGUAAGGAUGCAAUUUCAAAUAUACCAAGUCCCCAACUUUCAACUAGAGAUCACGGCGAUGCCCAUCGCUUCUUGCUUCAUUCGUUGUUGGGCGCGCAAAAGUUGCAUCUUGAGGUGCUGGAGGACUUCAUCCCUGCUGACCAAGGAUUGUUCUAUUGAGGAAACUACAGUCAUUCCCUUCUGAAAAGGCAUAACCGGCGGAGGAUCAAAACCUUACACAAUCUGAAGGGGAGUCUGCUUCAAGGCGGUGUGAAAAGAAGUAUUAUACCAAAAUUCUGCCCACGGUAACCACUGCCCCCAUGAUCGUGGCUUACUUGAAGUAAAACAACGCAAGUAUGUCUCCAAACACCGAUUGACGACCUCCGUUUGGCCGUCCGUUUGUGGAUGGUAGGCUGUACUCCUUUUAAGGACUGUCCCCUGAGCCCGAAAAAGCUCCUUCCAGAACUUACUCGUAAAAACUCGAUCCCUGUCUGACACAAUAGACUGUGGAAUUCCAUGCAACUUAACAACUUCUCGUAUGAAGACUUUAGCCACUAGGGUGCCGUGAAGGGAUGCUUUAACCCAAUGAAAUGCCCAUAUUUGCUGAGUCGAUCGACCACUACUAAAAGAGUGUCCCACCCUUCAGACUUGAGCAGCUCUUCGAUGAAGUCUAAUGAAAUGUUAGCCCACACUGGCUUUGGAAUCAGCAACGGCUGCAAGAGUCCUUGAGGAGAUAAGGACAUGUACUUAUUCUGCUGGCACACAUUGCAGCGGCUCACAAAUUCCCUGAUAUCCCUUUUAAUCCCCUUCCAAUAUAAGUUUUGAGAUAUCUCGAAUGACCACCUACUCCCGAGUCGUGAUAUUCCUGUAGGACCUUCUCAAUGAAUGGGGAUGAUUUGGGUAUCACUAAUCUGCCCUUGUAACACAAAGUCCCAUCCACCACCGAAUAGCCAGGUUGGUCCCCUCCACCUGAUUGUAUGUGGGCAAUGAUUUUGCUUACUCUUCGUCCCUUGCUACUGCUGCUUUUACUUCAUCCACUUUUAACACCCGGGGCCUUGAUAUUUCCAGAAAACUCACUAUGGGUCCCAUUCUUGAGAGGGCAUCUGCAGCUCUGUUUUCCAUACCGGGUCGAUAUUGAAUUUCAAAGUCAAAGCCAAGGAGUUUAGUCAACCAUUUCUGAUGUUCUUCCCAAACUAAGCGCUGCUCCAGAAGAAAUUUCAGACUUCGCUGAUCAGUCCUUACUAUAAAAUGUCUACCCAGUAAAUAGUGCCGCCACUUCUGAACGGAAAACAUUAUGGCCAUCAAUUCCCGCUCAUAAACUGAUUUGUGUCUAGCACUCAACGGAAGCACCUGGCUGAAGUAGGCAAUGGGAUGUUGUCCUUGCAUUAAAACAGCCCCCAAUCCGUGGCCCGAGGCAUUGGUUUCCACCACAAAUAUUUGGGAAAAGUCGGGUAAGGCAAGAACGGGCACUUCAGUCAUUGCUGUCUUCAGUUUGCAGAAGGCAUCCUCUGCCACCUCACUCCAGUUAAACCCGUCCUUUUUCAACAAUUCGGUAAGUGGCCAAGCAAUCUCAGCAUAUCCUUUUACAAAACGUCGAUAGUAGUCGGUAAGCCCCAAAAAUCCACUUAGCUCCCAAAGGUUCCGAGGCGAUGGCCAGUUGCACAUUGCCUCUAUCUUAGACUUAUCCGCUGAUACUCCUUGUCCCGAUAUUAUAUGGCCCAAGUAUUCCAAUUGAGGCUGUCCAAAAGUGCACUUCUUCUCAUUUACGUAUAGCUUGUGUUGCUGUAAGCAUUCCAAAACAAUGUCCAGAUGUUCCUGAUGCUCCCUCAAUGAAGCACUGUAAACUAAGAUGUCAUCAAAAAAGACCACAACAAACUUUCUGAGAUAGGGUCGAAAGACCUCAUUCAUCAAACUUUGGAAUGUUGCCGACGCAUUUGUCAGCCCAAACGGCAUGACAAGGAAUUCGUAGUGGCCUUCAUGAGUACAGAAAGUCGUCUUUGGCACAUCAUCCGGUUUCAUUCUUAUCUGAUGGUACCCCGAUUUAAGAUCCAGCUUUGAAAAAAUGGUUGCCCCAUGAAGUUCGUCCAGCAAUUCAUCGAUCAUUGGUAUAGGAAAUCUAUCUGGGACGGUGACCUUGUUUAACGCUCGGUAGUCUACACAAAACGCCAGCUCCCAUCUUUCUUUUUUACCAACAAAAUUGGGCUAGAGAAUGGCUGCAACUGGGUUGGAUUAUCCCAGCCUCCAGCAUGUUUUGCACUAAUUUCUCGAUUUCAUUCUUCUGGAAAUUCGGAUAACGAUAUGGCCUAACGUUAACCGGGACUGCCCCUGCCUGGAGCACAAUCCCAUGGUCAUGGGAUCGUGAUGGGGGAAGCUCAUUAGGCCACUCGAAGACUUGGUGAUGCCGCCGCAAUACUUCAGUAAGCUCGUCAGGGCCCUUGCUCACUUUCUCUUCGUUUCCCAAACUCAUACUUCCCAGCUCCAACAAUACCCCUUGGUCACCCUCCUUGAAGUUUCUGAAUAUCGACUUAAUAGAGACCUGGGUCUUCUGCAGGUUAGUUUCUCCCUGCAGUAACACCUCACGCCCAUCGACCUUAAAUUUCAUCGUCAACCUCCCCCAAUCCACCUGCAUUUGUCUCAAUGUUCCCAACCACUUCAUUCCCAGAAUUAAAUCAGUACACCCUAAUGUCAGAGGUAAGAAAUCAUCCACAACCACAAGGCUUGGCAGGGAGACGACUACUCCUUUACAAAUGCCCACCCCCUUCACCGACGACCCCGUUCCCACAGUGACCCCAUAUCCGUUGGUGCCCACAACCGGAAUUUGUAGCUUAUUUACUAACUCCAGGGAGAUGAAAUUGUGGGUUACCCCACAGUCAAUGAGUACCACCACCGCACGACCCAACAGCACCCCGGUCACCUUCAUCGUUUUUGGAUUUGUCGUCACCACCACCGAGUUUAAUGAAAGUUCCACUGCCUCCUGUACUUCAUCUUCCCCUGCCUCUCCUCCCAAAUCCGGUGGUUCCUCCUCCUCUUGCACGACAAGAACCUGCAGUUCCCUGUAGCGACACUUGUUACCCGGUUGAAAUUUCUGGUCGCAUUUGAAGCACACUCUCUUCUCCCUUUUUAACUGGAGCUCUGCAUCAGUCAAUCUUUUGUAAGGUGUCACCCCCUUCCCCGUCGCCGAACCGCGAGAGACAGGAGUUAGGGGCUUCGGCGGGGCUACUGGACUGCGUUGGAUUGGAGUUGUGUUGCCCGUCUGGGAAUGUUGGGCGUAGGAGAAUGGGCUAUAGGUGGUAUUGCUUGAAUAACUCUUGCUUUUAGUUGGGCCUUGGUGAACUUGGGCCUGGUCAAUUGCUUCAUUUCGGUCUUCGACCCGUUGGGCCAUAACCAUAGCUUGGGGCCUUGGGCCAGCCCACGAGGCUUCAUCAUCCUCACCUCAGUUCUGAUAAUAGGAGUCAGCCCAUUGAUGAAAUUACUUUCCAUUACCUCCUUCGAAAGUGCUGUUAAGUGCGCAACCAUGGCUUUAAAUUGACACCGGUAAUCCCGAACAGAGCUCGCUUGCCUUAGCGCCAAAAAUGUCUCCAAGAGUGUCACCUCCUGGGACGGCCGAAAGCGCUCCAACACCAAUGUUUUCAGAUCCUCCCAGCAUCACAGAGGUUGCCUGCUAUCUUCCCACUAGAACCACGCCAGAGCUUCUCCUUCAAAACAUACAGCCGCGACCUCUAUUUUCUCCUCAUUUGACAGUUGAUUCAUGCUGAAAUAUCUCUCUGCCCUGAAGAUCCAUCCAUCUGGAUUAUCGCCGUCGAAAAUGGGCAUUUCUAGCUUCCGGUUCCUGUAAUCUGUUCGUGUCCCGUCUUCCCAGAAUUUCCUCCCCUCAUUACUGUUGCUAGCUUCAUCGGCCAUGGCCGGUGCUACGGGGUUAGUGGGGGGUUCAGAGGCUGCUUCGAGGGAGGCUUUUUCCUUCCUUUCCCGUUCUAUUUUGGUUCACUGCUUCAUCAUCGCCUCAACCUUCUCCAUUAACACCCCAAAUUGCCCUUCCAAGGUCUCCACUCGAUCAGAUAACGUCAUUUUCCCCAGAAAUCGGAUGCUCUGAUACCAAAAAUUGAUAAGAACCUGAAUUGAUGGAACAAACUCGUUUACCUAAGAAGAGUAAACUCAAUGGAAAUGAGUGAAUUUUAUUGAAUUGAACGUAAACUAUGACUCCAACAAACCAGAGCAUUCGAGAGGCUCUGUACUCUCCUACUAGACUCCUGAUUUUUCUCUGCUGUUACCCGCCCCUCCCCUUUACAUUUAUUGACAAUUUCCCUAACUGACUCACUACCCUCCCCCCUAACAAAAUAACAGAAUAACAACUGCAUGCUUAAUUAAUUUGAAUACAUAGCUGACGUGGCUGCCUCCUUACUCCUUGCGUAUUUAAAAAUCACUGGGGGUCUAU